rfam:Schistosoma rodhaini strain Burundi genome assembly, scaffold: SROB_scaffold0020385
AUCCAGCUGACGAGUCCCAAAUAGGACGAAACGCUCAUACUGGAU